CAGGGAUGUCGUUCUGAGAUAAGGACAGACCUGGAGCUGUUCGUGGAAGCCUUUCUUUGAAAGUUUUUCAUCCUUUGAGAAUCCUGAUAUUAAAAUCCCAUGUCAGUGUAAUAUUCAUGCUAAUAACAGGCUGACGGAAAUGACAAAGAUACAAAAUGGAGUUGUCUUGUGUUCAUGAAAGGGUGCAGAGGAAAUACCGUAACUGCUGGCUGCCCAGAGCACGUCCCACCUACAGGAACCGCUCACAGUGACACGUCACGCCCACGGAGCAACCGGCGCUCAGAGCAAUGUGUCUUCGAGGUCUCAGCCAUGUUCGCCGCAGGGAGGUGGCAGGGGUAUGUUUUAGAUCCGGACACUCAACUCACAUAGUUGACUACAAACUGUUAAAAUGUCUGAGGUUGACUAACACACCUUCAGAGGCAGGAGGGACAGAAGAUGGGCUGAGCGGGAGGCGAGAGGAUCAGUGGGCCGUGUCUACGCUGCCUCUGCAGGAGUUUAUAGCAGAAGGUCUGGCGUGUGGCCUGAACAGCCUCCUGUGGUAAGGUUUGCCCACGGCCUAUAGCAAGGGCUCCUGCAGAAAGGGCUGAGGACACAGACCUGCGGCCAGACCUCCGCGGUGUGAGCGGGUGGCAGCCCUGCGCCGGCUGGUGAUCCUGGACGCGUCACCUGCACGUCUGUGCUUCGGUUUCCCACGACGCACGAGAUCCUGGUGACACCCUCGCUCAGGGUUGUCACGAGCGUGCAAUAUGGAAACGCGCGUGUGUAGGACAGUCUCGUCCGACUGAAUACUCCCUGGUGGCUUCUCACGGGUUUGCCCUCAGGAAGGAUGAGCAGCUCAGCUGGAAGCCCCGUGUGGCAGGAAAAGACCUCCGUCACCUGCCAGCAGGAGGCUCUUCCCCUGGGGUUUCAGAGGAAGGAAAAGCGUGGGCCUGGUUUUACAAUCCUGUUUGUGAUUUUCACAAUAAAUGGUGUUUCAGCCAUGAUCACAGCAAAUGGACUCUCCCUUGUUGUCCAGCUCUAGGAGCGUUCAUUCACGCCUGGAGCUGUAGCCACCCCCACAACCAGGGAGCGAACCGUGGCAUCUCCACACAAGCGCCUCCUCCCCCCCAGGCCCUGGUCUGUCUCCAUCGCGUCGUGUGGACUUUCUGAGACGCUGUGUCAAUGGAAUCACGUGUGAUGUCACCUCUUGAGAGCGACUCCUUGUCCUCAGCUCAGAGGCUAAGGGUCACCCAGGGUCUGCACCUACCAACCACGUGCCCCUGUUCACCACUGGGCAGUCCACGUGCCAGCUUGCUUAUCUCUCACUGCUCAGGGAUUGGAGGAGGGAGCUGUUAGAAAUGCCUGUACACGUAUGACUGAGAGUUCAGCAGAGACGCCAAUGAUAUAAAACCACGUUAAAUUCACGCACAUUUUCAGUAGGAAAACUUAAUAAAAACGUGGUUUGCUGAUAUUUUUCUUCCUUAA